UAGGACCUGUUCCUUCCUUGAACUCUGGCUACUCACUGAAAUGCGCCAGCCCUGUCCCACCCACCUAAAGCUUCCUCAAGGACGUGUGAAGAGAUGAAGGUGGAGAAGCUCCUCAGACCAGUAGGGGCCAAGAAGAGUGUGGGUGGACCCUAAAAGAAGUGACAAGUUUUGAGAGCAGGUGUGAUGUUUCUCUAACUGUAUCCACAAUUACAACCAACCAUCCAGUUUGACUAAACCUUAGAUUGGAUGUCAAGGCAGCCACAGCACAGUGUGAAGUGAGAGUCCUGUCCCGUGGGGAGAAGCUCGCCGUUCUGCAUGGACACUGUGGAUAUUCUCCCGAGUCUUCAGCUGUGCUUUGGAUCCCUGUUUUAUCCUCACCAAGGACUCGGUGAGCCAGGCUGGCUCUCGGCAUUUGGAGCCUCUGCCCAUCUCCUUUCAACCCUGAUCCUGCUUCCCCUGGCAGGCCCUCCAUCGAGCACCCCACCCUUGGCUACCUAGACCACUGUCCUCAAGGAGAAUAAAAAUAGAAGGCACCCCA
ensembl:antisense